UGCUACCUUAGAUGAACCAGUAGUGGAAUAGGCAUGAAGGAUGCAGAAAUCCAGUUAUGACCUUCAAAAUCCCCAAGUGAUGUGCUCAAAUUAACUUGCAUCUCUUCUAUCCUGUGUCAGAUGCUGCUUUAAGGACACAUGCUGUGCAGGAAGAUGGACUGGUUUGUGGUUGAGAUAUUGAAGAAUGAGAAGCAAUCAGAAAUAUUUGAAAAACCUCAUGGCUGGUCUUGAGACCCUGUAUCAAGAUGUCCAUGGGGUAUGAAAUGAGAGCUGCCCAGCAGGGCCACACAAAGAACUCUGUGUGGCAGCACCUGGGCUGCUGACUGCCAUCAUCAGCACAAAGUCUGUAGGACAAGCCCCUAGUUCCUGACCUCCAUUGAAGCAGGAACCUAGUAGAGCUGGACAAACACCUCAGCUGACAGUUACAUGUUGCUCUAAGGCCUGGGAGGCCUCAGGGGGAGAACUGAGGAAGGAGCAGUGGUGAACUCCAAAGUGUGUGAAUUCUUCAAGUGCAUCACUCAGCCAAGCAUGUUGCUAGAGAACAUUGCAGGCCUUUGCCAGGAGGAAGAAAUUUGUGUUCUUCUGAGGAUGGAGACAAGUCCACUUCCUUCUAUGAUGGAG